rnacentral:lncRNA from 1 species
AUUAUUGUUACUAUUAUUGUUAUUAUUAUUAUUUUACUCUUUUUAUAUUCCUUCUAUGUUUUCUGUGGAACCGGCAGGUUUCAAGACGUGCUCCUUGACCAUUGUGAACCACAGGCACUCUUCCUAUAAAGCUUGAAACUCGGUAUGCACUUGAUUCUGAGGUUGAAAACCACUAAAACAAUUUUCGGGGGAUCUGAAAGCCAUGUCUGCCCAUUUGCCUUCACAACUUUGAACCAAAGCAUCUGAAGCUGAACACUGCCAAAGUCAUAGGCUCAAUCAAUAUUUUAUCGUUCAGUAAGUGUUAUGUGUAAGUACAUAAUAGAGAAUUUCUUUGAGAACAAAGCUUGAUGUUUGACAACAUCAAGUUUUAUUUAUUGUGGUGUUUUCACAAAAAUAUUUUUUCC